AUACUUACCUGGACGGGGUCAAUGGGUGAUCAAUGAGGCCUAUGGCCUAGGUUAGCGAUCUCCAUUGCACUUAUGAGGGGCGUUCGCCUAAGGUCUCCCUAAUGUGGGAGAGCCUACGUUAUUAUUUGUUGCAGUGGGGGCCUGCGUUCGCGCAGCCUCCUU